GUGGUGUGUCGUCACUUCCGGCCGGAAGUACGUGUGCAGAGCGGCUCCGGCGCAGGGGCGGGGAGCGAGUGGAGGCGCGUGGUUCCUCGUGUCUAAGGGUUUCCUCAGAUAACGAGAACUUUCCAGCCCUCGGCGAUUAGAUGCAGGCAGGCAGCGGUUGGCCCUUUCCUCCUGGUCGGUGAGAGCACUCAGAGCGCGCUCAGUUUGGGGGAUCCAGGGACCUGUGUGCGGUGAGUCACCUCUGCUGCUGAGAUGUACCACGGUUCCCAGCUGAAGAGACUGAGCCGCUGAUGGUUCUCUGUAGGAAGUGAAAACAGGGACCAUGAUGACGGUGACUCCCAAAGGUGGACGCUUGUGAGGAGUCAGCAAAUCCGGUGACGUGUUCGGGAGCACUUCAGACCCGUGAGCUGGCUGCUGCCCAUUCUUGGAUUUUCAGGGCACUUCAUGGUGUCUCUGGCUGCAAGCUUCCAGGACGCUGCCGUGCGUCGGGUCCUGGGGUACAAGGUGCUGUUGGCCACAGGAGGGUCCUGCCUGCUACCGGGAACUGAGGACCGUUUCACCCUGCUAACAGAGUAUUGGCAUUAGAAGUAUUUCCUGUUCUUGGCGCUAACAGAUUUGCCCGUUGAGGGGAUCCCUGAUCUAUGCAGAGGGACGGUGUGACUGUGGGAGGCUCCCUCUCGGCUCUGUUGAACCGGAACCCUGGUGUUCCCCAGGGAACCGACCUGGGAACAGACAUUUGGAUAUAAGUUCCUGGGACAGCCUGGUGCCUUUCACCUUGUAGAUGAAGCCAGAGACCGCGCAGACGACCUGUGGCAGCGUGGCAAGGACCUUGGGCCCCGGGCACGCGGGUGUGCCUCUGUCGUGGAACUCACCCGUUGUCUGUUUUCUAGCCUGUUGCCACCUCGUAGAAACUGUGUACUUGUUUUUUGCAACAAAGAGUAGAUCUGUGUCAUUUAAAUUACUACCAAGAGGACAACAGAAAGGACAUGCUCCUCUGACCUUCACAGGGCAGAGGCCUGUUUUGGUUUUACAUGGUUGCACAUAAUGACUGUUUAAAACAACUCUUCGUGCCGAUAUUUUUUUCAGAUCAAUUAUGCAACUGCAGCAGAAAACUAGUUCUUUUCUUGCAAGUGUAAUUAAAAACGGAGCCGAGUGAGCCAGGGGGGAGGUCACGUGUCUGGGGCCUGGCAGCUGUGCAAUUGUGUCCCGGUUACGCAACGCUGCUUUCGACCUUCAGCCACCAAUGGCAAAACCUUCAGAUUAUCGUAUGGUAUUGAAAUAAGGCUCUUACUUUCUUUGAACAACACGUUCUUUGUUAAAACCGGACUUGGGCUUUUAAUACUGACUUCCACUAGAGGCUCCGUAAGCCACGUUCCGUCCCUGCAGCUGUCCCCGUGGAACACAUUUCCUAAAGUCAAACUCCCGACUUUCGUGGCCCUUUGAAACUGACUCUGUUGUCAUCCGUCCUGGAGACGUAUGGGCAAAGCUCCCAUGACCCCCUUCACUCCAAUUACGUCUCUGUUCCCAAUCGCCACACCCCUUUGAAAGUUAACGGAGGAAAUAGGAAAUACUAAGAAAUCUAAAUGAAAUAAAGGGGUUACUUCCUCCAGUUGCUUUUUACAUAUGUGUAAGCACUGCUUAGUGUUUGUUUUCAUUUUCAAUUUUUUUCCUAAAGUAACAAUGCACAAGUUUUUGUUUGUUUUUAGAGAGGUGGGGAAGGGGCAGAGAGAAUCCUAAGCAGGGUCCGUGCCCAGCGUGGAGCCCAGUGCGGAGCCCAGUGCGGGGCUCGAUCUCACAACCCUGAGGUCAUGACCUGAGCUGAAGCCGAGAGUCGGAUGCUUAACCGACUGAGCCACCCAGGCGCCCCUGUGCUUUUCCUUUUGACUCUUCAUCUUAAGCCUUGCCUGUCGACUUCCUUUGUGGUGGAUUCAGGCCAAGCACUCACAGACCCCCUCCGCUUCCCCUUGCGCAUCCCCCAGUACGAUCAUCCUGUGUGAAUUCUGCUCGGACCAGCAUUCUGCAUUGUCCUGCAGGUAACGAUGCUUACCUGCCCCCGGCCUCGCCUUGCAAGACCCUCUUCAUUUCCUUCUUGUUCUCCCCUAGUUGUCUUGCUGUUUCUUUGGUGGAGCUUUCUUUGGUCACUAAGUCUUGUUCCCACAUGGCCCAUAGCUUCCAGGCCCAACUUUACACAAGGUCAGCCACGUUACCUCUACCUUUGCACGGGGUCAACCACAUGACGUCAUGUACCCAUUCUGCCUGUUUCUUAGAUGUGUGAAAGAAGGCUUUUCAGACGGUGCAGUUAGGAGAAUGUUGUUACGGUUUUGUUACAGUCACGUGCAAGGGAGAGGCCCCGCUAAGGCCAAUUCAGAAGUUCAGUUUUCAUUAGGAAUUUUAUAUCUUACAGGAAAAUGUAAAGGUUGGAUUAUUGUCAGGGCAAAUACAAAAAGAAUCCUGGCUGAAGACCUCACAGUUGGGUGGGUAGGUAACUGGUUUCCCAGGAAGUUCCUUACAAAUUAUGUCAAGGGGAUGCCAGUCUUCCCAGAAGGAGGCUGUGAAUUUUAAUCAGGCAGAAAAAGGCUCUGUCCCAAGCCAGGUUUAGACUUUUUUUUUUUUUUUAGAUUUGAAUUUUAAGUAAUCUCUACACCCAACGUAGGGCUCUAAACUCAGAACCCCAAGGUCAAGAGUCACACAGUCCACCAACUGAGCCAGCCAGGUGCCCCUAGAUCAGUGUUUUAUACCCUCUCUUUGACCUAGACAUCAUAUCUGACUUGCUUAAGAAUGCAUCUUGUUGCAUUUUGGUUCCAAGAACAUAAAGGGACGUGUUGCCUAGUUCAGCGCUUCCCGAACAACCUGUGCAGAAAUCCCCUGGGGGAUUUGUCAAAUGCAGAUUCUGGUGCAGUGGGGCUGAGAUGGGGCCUGGGACUCUGCAUUUCUCACCAGUUCCCUGGUGCUGCUGGUCUGGGGACCACACUUUGAGGAGUAAGGGAGGGCAUUUUUGGUUGCUUGGUACAUCUCCCAUUGAUGGUAGACUUGGAUGUAGGUUUAAUUUGUCUGACACAUGCCCAGUUGUGAUUACUAGCAGUGUCUAUACAUAUUCCUGAGCCAGUUUCCUAUAUUAAGGAAGAAUUUCCCGACACAGCAUGUAGUGGUCAUGAUUUCUUACAGUCUGUGCACUGAGGCCUCAUAUGUAAGCUGGAUUCAGUGAGGCCUGUUCCAUAGGUACGGUGAGAGGCAAUGAAGAGCAUCUCUUUACUGUUGGUCUAAUAAAACUAAAGUCACAUGAAAGAUAAUUUUAAAACCUCCCAGCUGUCAAAAAUCAGAGCUGGAUUAAAGUGGUGAAAACAGAUUUUCUUGAACUAUUGCAAUAAAGGAAAAGAGACCUCAGUAUAGAAUGGGGUUCAGUUCCAAAUGUAGCAGGGACAGGGAGCAGGAGCGGGGCAGCGAAUGGAAAAUCACUAAGAGGAAAUGUCGAGGGUAAGGGGGCUUCUGGCUAAACUGACCUAGCGGGAUUCUGACUGAAGGCCAGCCAGGGUGUCGGGUAUCACCCCAGGGCCAGUGAAGGAUGAGGAACCUGGUCACACAUCCGGGAAGGUGGGGGGGUUGCGGGUUCUGAUGAAACUGACUUAGCUGGGUUCUUGCUAAAACUAGAUUUUAUAAGGAAGUUUACAGACAGGCCUAGGAGAUGGUCCAGGAUUCUAACAUAGAAUCUUUGUCCUAACCUAACCUUGGUUAGUUCUUUUGAGGUUAGUUUGAAUGUUCUCUAAACUUUGAGAGAAAAGGAAAUAUUGUAUAAUUGAGAGAGAAUAGAAAGCAAAAUUUAUGACAGGUCCAGUAGGUGCCAAAAAUUUGCAAAUCUUACCUCCUUGAAUCUCUUAUGUGGGGGGAGUGGGCUCAUUGAGGGCCGGUGACUGCCUAGGGUCACAGGCUGGUGUCCACUUUCUCAUUCACAAAUGUGGGUCACACACUUGGGCACCAUGCUAGGCACUGGGGAUACACGGGGAACAAGACCAUCACCACAGCCCUGGAGCAGGCUUUGUAGUUGAGGGACGACCCCUCCCCAAAAAAUAAACCAUCACAUAGAACACACAAAGAAGAGACCUUUGGGGAAGGUCCCUGCUUUGAGUGCUGUUGGGGCUCCUACUUUGGCUUGGAGGAGAGGGAAGGCCUCACUGGUGGUGUCUGCACUGAAAGCUGAAUCACAAGAAGGAGUGGGCCAGGAAUGAAGAGGGAAGGGCAUUCCAGGUGGCAGGAACAGCAAGUGCAAAGGCCACAUGGCAGGAGUCAACUAGCGGUGGGCCCGGGACCUGAACCUGGUGCUGCCUGACUCUGAAGUCAGUGGUCUCCCUGCUGAGGCCUCUGUCAUUUUGCUGCCCAGUGUCAAAGAAACAGGUCCAGACGUAGGAAACAGACCAUCUUGUUAAGGAUGAUUGUGGGGGGGGCGGGGCACCCCACCCGGGAGGAUACUCUGACCAGGGAUCUGCCCUGGAAGAGUUCGGCAAAAAGGAAACUUCCUUUGUGGGAGGAGUGGUGUGGGGGAGGGGGCAGAAGGGUUGCUGCUUGAGGGAGUUGGCCAGAGAAGGUGUUAGCUGAGGUCACCCUGUGAGGCUGCAGGGGUGGAAGAGGUUUCCUUCUGCCCUUUGCGGUUCUUCAGCUGGGCUGAUAAUUAAAUUGACAUGAGACAUUAAUGGGAGAAAAGCGGAAGUUUAAUAACAUGCAUACCUCCUAUAUACAUGGCAGGAGAACAGUUACGCCCCCAAAUGGCCAAAGCCAUCACCUUAAAUACCACCUCCAGCUAAAGAUACAGGAGAUGUUGGGGUGGGGGAGUCAGUUGUGGAGGUGAUCAGGAAAAGCACCGAGAACAAGGUGAGGGUGUUGUGAGGGUUUAAGUUCACACCUCCACUGAUGAGUUUCCAGAGACCUCAGGAGACACCCGCACACAUGGAGACUUCCCUCAGAAAGAAAUGUCUCUUACUAAAGGGUAAGAGCUUCUCCUGUCACUGCAGUUUCUUAAAAAUAACCAGUUUAAAGUAAUAUGCCAAAGAGACAUAUUUGGGGGUCUGUUCUCCCCUUCAUAGCCAUUUUGACUCGUGUCAACACACGUUCUCUGAGCAGAGGCUGGGCCCACAGGCCACGUGAGGCAGACACGUGCCUGUGGACUGGCGCUUCCUUCCAGUGGAAAUGCUUCAAGUUGCUGCUCAAGGAGUGAACACAGCUGAGUGCUUUCACGAGCGCCCCAUGCCUUUUGGUGAGCAUCAUCCAUGUUUGGCUUUAUUUAGCUCUCAGUAACAGCAGGAGAUAGAUGGGAAGCCCAGCAGCGGAUGCUCAGAUUCAGCAACUUGUUCAAGGUCUCCCACCUGGUUCUGGAGCAGAAACCAAGAUUUGACCUUCAUAUAUAAGUUGGCAGAGUCCAUCACAAUUUGCAAAAAAUUUGACAUUGAUAGAUGGGCCUGUCCACCGCCGCCUCCUGGCAGCGAUCAAACAGUGCUGUAAUGCCUCGUGUCCCCCCUACUCUUCCCAGCUGAGGAACCAGGUGCGUCAUCAGUGAAUUGUCCUCCUUCCUUCCAGGAUGUGAUUAGAUAUGUCUAAUCCAGAGCUGAUGCCAGAAGUGUCACAUUUGGGAACUCGACUUCCCACGGGAAAAGCGUGAGCCCCGUGUGCCAGCCGUAUGGGUGGUUCUGUCACUUCCGGCGGGCCAGGCACACCAGCGAGGUCUGGGAAUCUCAGGCGAGGAGGGGCAGCCGCACGCCCAGCUGCUGUCGGUGGUCCUCGUUCCCUGGUCUCAGAGAACAUGGGUGAUUAAAAGCAGCUGGAAAAAAAAAUUCCAGGACAUUCCUGGUGAUUCUGGAGUCUGGCUUCAGGAAUCCUGUACUGCGUGAAAGGACAAAUACAAACAAAAAGUUGGAGGUCUUGUUCUCCCUGUUGAAAACCAGGGAAGAGUGACAGGUGUGGUGAUCAUUUUGCAAUAUAUACAAAUAUUGAAUCAUGGUGCUGGACACCUGAAACUCAUAUAAUGUUAUAUGCCAAUUAUAUCUCAAUUAAAAAAAAAAGGAUCUGAGACCCUGUAAAAAUAAGCCCUUGUUUAAAAGUACAGAAACAACGGAGGAGCCUUCCCCCUCCUCCCUUUGCUCUCAGCCUUUCUUUCUCUGCGCUUCUCACAAGUAUGCUAAUCUGUUCCGUGGCUAAAUUAGUCUCUGGCCCAUCUCACAACUCAGGAAUGUCUUCCCUAGGACCAGAGAGCCUCCUCUUUGAAAUGUGAGGAGGAUAAUGCUGUCAGUGUCCUGGGAGGGGACAGCCCCACUCCACUGUCACCUGACUAAUUGCAAACCUACACGAGGACCCAUUGUCUCGCUGCAGCUGCUUAGCUCUAUCACGGAUCGUGUUUUCUGUGUUUUGGUUCCUUCAGUGGGUUUCGUGGGGUGCUCCUCAUGUUGUGGUUGAACGCUUAUCAUUCAUUGCUUUCUUCUCCCUUUGUGGAGAGCUUUGUUAUCCAGGGCUGUUGACCAAACUUCAGUCAGGCUCCUAGACCGUCUCCUAGGCCCGUCCAUGCGCUUCCUUAUAAAAUCCAGUUUUAGCAAGAACCCUGCUAAGUCAGCUUCACCAGAAGCCCCCUCUGCUUCCCGGAUGUCUGACCAGGUUCCUCAUCCUCCAGUGGCCCCUGGGUGAUGCCUCACACCCUGGCUGGCCUUCAGCGAGGAUCCCGCUAGGUCAGUUUAGCCAGAAGCCCCCUUACCCUCUACGUUUCCUCUUAGUGAUUUUCCAUUCACUGCUCCGCUCCCGUGCUCCCUGGCUAUAAAUUCCUGCCUGUCCGCGCUGCGCUCGGAGUCGAGCCCAAUCUCUCUCCCCCACUGUAAAUCCCAGCACACGGUCCCUCCGCCCAUCAGCCCAUCGUGAGGGUCCUGGAGGGAGCUGCCUCACCAUCCUUAACAAGUCUCCUUGCAUGUUUUUUUCUUUACUAGUAGUAGAGAGGCGUGAACUCCUCUACCCUCUUAGGUGCUUUCUUUGGAGGCCUGCAGAUUAAACUGACAAAGACAGUUUAGCAAGAAAAAGGCAGAUUUGUAGUGGAGUUCACAGAAACGUGCCUAGAGGAAGCUUAGAAUUGAGAGCUCAUCUACCAUCUUAAGAAGGGGAGGGGAGGGGAGGGGAGACGGACGCGUGCAGGAAAGCAAGACUUUUAGGAGAGGUGAGUGAGCCUUUGGAAUAGGUGGUAGAUGUGGUAGUUCCUUGACAAGGCUGAUUUCUCGUCUGGAUGUGGACUGCUCUUCUCUGCUGGUAGGAGUCCGUCUUCUCGGCUUGCAGUCCCAGCCUGGGGAGGGCAUUUAUGACACUUGAAUUCUUCUUUUAAAGAUUCUAUUUAUUUAUUUGAGAGAGGGAGAAACAGAUUCCCCACUGAGCAGGGAGCCCGACGUGGGGCUCCAUCCCAGAGCCCUGAGAUCAUGACCUGAGCCGAAGGCAGACGCUUGACCUUCUGAGCCACCCAGGCGCCCUGACACUUGAACUCUUUCAGGAGGCUCUGCGUUUAGGCAGAUAAGGGAGUUCAGAAAAUCAAACAGUACCCCCCCCAAAAAACCACCAAAAACCAAAAAACCACCCCUCUUAUUCUGGGCCUGUUCACUGGCUUUCUUCUUAUCUAAUUUUGUUGGGCGUCAAGGAAAUUCUCCACUUACCUCCUCCCAAGUGAGGGGAAGUUGAAAUUACUCAGGUCUGCUCUAGAGUCAGACAAGAAGCCGCCCCCCAGCCUAGCCUCCAGUCCCCGGCAGCUUCCCCUUGCUGCGCCCUCGCCUCACCCGGCAGCUGACUGCCCGUGAGCAUCUGCGUCCGCCCACCUGGUCUGCAGCGCUCCGGGAGCAGGCGUCCGCCUGUCACCUACGGGCACUCACUAAUGCCCCCUGGGCUGUGAUUUACCAGGAAGGAGUCCCUUCUGUCCUGGAGAAAACCAGCUGCCCACCGUGGAGCUUCCAUGCCUUCAGAUUCUGGGGCAGUGAUGAGGGGUCUUCUUCAUGUGGCCCAGCACCCCGUAGACCCCCAGGGGCCAGAACAAGCAGAAAGUAGCUUCCACCUCAGGACCCCUUACCCCCCGAGGGGCUGGGCCUGACGCUUCACCUUCAUCUCAUUUACUGCACCUUCGAACAACAGGUUUCUGAGGCCGAAUGGUUCUUCUCUGCACCUUCUAGAUAGGGGGACGGCGGCAGGGGGGCGGCCACUGCCAGAGGCCCACGGCUGGGCCACACCUGAGCCCACAGCGCCAGGGACGGCCACUGCCAGAGGCCCACGGCUGGGCCACACCUGACCCCACAGCGCCAGGGACGGCCACUGCCAGAGGCCCACGGCUGGGCCACACCUGAGCCCCACAGCGCCAGGGACGGCCACUGCCAGAGGCCCACGGCUGGGCCACACCUGAGCCCCACAGCGCCAGGCAGUGAAGGGUCUCACUCGGCCGCUUUUAAGCUAACGAAAUAGAAAUAAUUACAAGUAUGAGAAAUACAAAAUAUCUAUUAUGUAUUUCCAUUCUCGGUCAGACUCCGUUAAUGAGCACAAGGGAGAGGGGAGAGGGUGAGAACGCGGGAAGCCUGCGGGGCGGCCCAGAAGUCCCUCCCGCGACGCACACAGCGGGUACCACAGUCCGGGUGGCCCGUCAGCACUGAGCACCGUGAGAGGGCCUCUUCCUGACCUUCUGGCAACAGUGGCACCCGGACUAAUCUUACAGAGGUCCUAGAAGUCCUUUUUAGGGCACCUGGGUGGCUCAGUCGGUUAGGCUCAGGUCGUCAUCUUGGGGUCCUGGAAUCCAGCCCCGCAUCGGGCUCCCUGCUCAGCGGGGAGUCUGCUUCUCUUUCUCCCUCUGC